rnacentral:misc_RNA from 1 species
GACGAACCGAGCGAACGUUGUUCGGAAUCACUGGGCUUAAAGGGCGCGUAGGCGGGCUAUCAAGUCUGGGGUGAAAUGCCACGGCUCAACCGUGGAACUGCCUCGGAUACUGACGGCCUCGAGGGAGGUAGGGGCAUGCGGAACUGUAGGUGGAGCGGUGAAAUGCGUUGAUAUCUACAGGAACUCCGGUGGCGAAAGCGGCGUGCUGGACCUCUUCUGACGCUGAGGCGCGAAAGCUAGGGGAGCAAACGGG